rnacentral:rRNA from 1 species
CGGCGGACGGGUGAGUAACACGUGGGUAACCUACAUAUAAGACUGGGAUAACUCCAGGAAACCGGGGCUAAUACCGGAUAAUACAUGAAACCGCAUGGUUUCAUGAUGAAAGACGGUUUUGCUGUCACUUAUAGAUGGACCCGCGGCGUAUUAGCUAGUUGGUAAGGUAACGGCUUACCAAGGCAACGAUACGUAGCCGACCUGAGAGGGUGAUCGGCCACACUGGAACUGAGACACGGUCCAG